CACCUAAAUCUAACAACAGGAAGAAGUUUUACUCUACUGGUGAUUCAACAUCACCACUUCCUCUAUUUGGACGAGUCUCCUUGAUAUCAGUGACAUUUGUGUUUACAGCUCUCAUGUACCAACAUGAUCCGAGGCCUCUUCAUCCAGCUGAUUCUAAUACCACUCUGGGUUAAAGGACAAAGUUAUGAAGUUCAACAGAAUCUUCGUGAGCUGUUAAAGGCCCCAGGAGACAAUGUGUCAUUGAAUUGCAAACAUAAAAUUGCAAACUUCUACAUGAUUUUGUGGUACAAGCAAACUGUUCAAGGUUCUAACCUUGAUCUCAUUGGAUUUGUGUCCUACACCUCACCAACUGUUGAAAAGCAGUAUGAUAAACUCUUCAACGUGACUGGGGAUGGUAGUAAAGAAAGCACUCUUCAUUUUCUGAAACCGAUCCAAGUUGAAGACAGUGCUGUGUAUUACUGCGCUGCCAGUAAAGCACAAUGCUACAGGUCCCCUUGCUGCCUUACAAUAACCCCAGGAGUGUCUGACACCUGUGGCAACAAUGGGCAGUUCUCCAAAUGA